rnacentral:tRNA from 1 species
GGUGGUAUAGCUCAGUGGUAUAGAGCAUUUAGUUAGCAUGUGUGAGGUCCUGGGUUCAAACCCCAGUACAAAACCA